rnacentral:rRNA from 1 species
GAGUGAACGCUAGCGGCAGGCUUAAUACAUGCAAGUACGAAGGGGUAGGCAAUACAACCGGCGCACGGGUGAGUAACGCGUACACAACAUAUCAUAUACUGGGGUAUAGCUUUGGGAAACUGAAGGUAAUCCCCCAUAACAUUGCGAGAGGGCAUCUGAUUGCAAUUAAAGUUUCGGCGGUAUAUGAUUGGUGUGCGUUUGAUUAGCUAGUUGGUAGGGUAACGGCCUACCAAGGCGACGAUCAAUAGCUGGCGUGAGAGCGCGACCAGCCACACUGGAACUGAGACACGGUCCAGACUCCUACGGGAGGCAGCAGUAGGGAAUAUUGGACAAUGGAGGAAACUCUGAUCCAGCCAUGCCGCGUGAUAGAUGAAGGCCCUCUGGGUUGUAAAUAUCUUUUAUCUGGGAAGAAACAAUCUUAUUCUUAAGAUCUUGACGGUACCAGAGGAAUAAGCACCGGCUAACUCCGUG